GACGUAGGGCGCGAGCGUUGUCCGGAUUUAUUGGGCGUAAAGAGCUCGUAGGCGGCCUGUCGCGUCGGCUGUGAAAACCCGGGGCUCAACCCCGGGCCUGCAGUCGAUACGGGCAGGCUAGAGUCCGGCAGGGGAGACUGGAAUUCCUGGUGUAGCGGUGAAAUGCGCAGAUAUCAGGAGGAACACCGGUGGCGAAGGCGGGUCCCUGGGCCGGAACUGACGCUGAGGAGCGAAAGCGUGGGGAGCGAACAGG
rnacentral:rRNA from 1 species